rnacentral:lncRNA from 1 species
AAAAUCUCUUAUACUGCCUAGUUAUGUAUUUAUUAUUCCUAUACGUAUUGGAUCCUAGAUGAUCGAAAUAUAUAUGAUGAUGUCACCAGCUGAUAUCAGUAAGAUUGUUUGAUGAAACCACUUUUACACCAGAUUUUUGACAGGACAGUACAUUUCGGCACGGUACGUCACUAAUUUAAGGCUAUUUAUCUACUUUUUGGAUCUUGCAACUUGUACAAUUUGCUUAUACAAGUCACAACUUGUACAACCUCGCAUCUUGUACAGAACAUGCAAACAUUCAAGCAUACAUAUACUUCAUCACAGCUAUAAAAAAUAAAAGUAAUGGGAAUAUAUACUUUACAAAGGCCUGCGUAUGUUGUUGUUCUUCAUGUUCGUAGAAUGUGUUGUCUACUGUGUACACUCUCGCUUAUUUUACAGGCAGUACAUACAAAUACAUGAGUCAAAGUAUUGUCUGCAUAUAUUUUGUAUCGCUAUGCCUCAAACUUUUAUUUGAAUAACAUUACUUCCAAAAUCGUCGUCCGUCCUUCGACAACAGUUGUUGUCGUAUUCAUUAUUAGUGAACAGUGGAGCCUUGGGAGCGAGAAGUUUUCGCUGGAGAAAAAAUGAUGGUCAGAAUACCCGCAUCUUAUCUCCAUUUCAUCUGAAAUUAUUCCCUGGUAUUUCAUGUGUGUAAGGGUUGUAGUCAGCCAAAGAUUAAACACAUAUAGAAGAAAUGACUUCAUCUCCAGGAUUGUCCAGGAACUGAGUGCCCAAGGCUCCACUGUCAAAGAGAUUACGCUCUCUCACAGUGAGAAGAAGUUUCAUUAAAGAACUUUCGCCCUUACAAAUGGCUAUAAAUAUAUUUAUGGCCUCUUUUGAUUUUUGGCCCUUCCUUCAAUCCAAAUCCAAUACGAACACAUUUAACAUCCAUGAGGUACUGGAGGAAAUCGUCAAUGUCAAAAAGAGCAAACAAGUCUUUAAUGAAACAACUAAGAUAACACGGAUCCAUCCAAAGAAGGAUCGUAUAACUGAGGAAGACUAAUACUAUCUUCCCCAGAACAUCAUUCCCUCCUGUAUCCAUUGCAUUAUGGGUUUAAGGGAUGCAUAUUCAGGAGUGGAUUCACACAUAACUGAGAAACAGUUCAAAUGAAAGGACAUUACUAUCUAUUCUACAAAUUUAUGAAGUAUUUUCUUAAUGAACAUGUUAUUUUCAAACAACUAUGUAGCAAUCUAUAUAAAUAUUUAAUGUGUUAACUUUAAGGAUGUGUUUAAGAUUAAGGGUUUGCUUUACUAUGUUAAUUGAUAAAAUAAGAUGUAAUUAAUUUACUUUAUACCUGUAAGAACUAUAUAUUUUUUAAAAAUUAAAAAAAAAAAUCCCAUUUUUUUAUGAACUAUUUAUGACUGUUUAUUUCUUGAAAAACUUGAUUAUAAUUAUUUAUUUAUCAUGACAAUGUAGCCAAUCAAUAAUUAUCUUGCUAAAAAUGUAAGAAAACAUUUCAUGUGUUAGUUAAGUAAGAAAUUUUUAUGUUAAUAAAUUUUUUUUUUUUAAUGUAAAA